AUUGAACGCUGGCGGCAUGCUUUACACAUGCAAGUCGAGCGGUAACAGGCCGCAAGGUGCUGACGAGUGGCGAACGGGUGAGUAAUGCAUCGGAACGUGCCCAGUCGUGGGGGAUAACGCAGCGAAAGCUGUGCUAAUACCGCAUACGAUCUAUGGAUGAAAGCGGGGGACCGUAAGGCCUCGCGCGAUUGGAGCGGUCGAUGUCAGAUUAGGUAGUUGGUGGGGUAAAGGCUCACCAAGCCAACGAUCGGUAGCUGGUCUGAGAGGACGACCAGCCACACUGGGACUGAGACACGGCCCAGACUCCUACGGGAGGCAGCAGUGGGGAAUUUUGGAAAAUGGGCGCAAGCCUGAUCCAGCAAUGCCGCGUGCAGGAAGAAGGCCUUCGGGUUGUAAACUGCUUUUGUACGGAACGAAAAGGUUUGGGUUAAUACCCUGGGCCGAUGACGGUACCGUAAGAAUAAGCACCGGCUAACUACGUGCCAGCAGCCGCGGUAACAC
rnacentral:rRNA from 1 species